rnacentral:rRNA from 1 species
AUGAUCAUGAGGCCGCGUGGGCUUCCGGCGGCGGCGGCCAGGCUCCGGCCGCACCUCCCGCGCGUCACCGCCUUCCUCAUCGUCUUCUCCGUCGGGUACUCGCUCGGCAUCGUCUCGUCGUCCGCCCGCCCGUCCACGCCCAAGCCGUCGCAGACCGUCAUACGGCCGCACGCCGCGCACCUCACCGCGGCCUCCUCGGCCGGCGUCACGGCCUGGUCGAACGGCACGGGCGCGGGCGCGAGCGCGAGCUACCCGCGGUCGCCGCCGCACGACCUGUUCCGGUUCGGGGACAAGUGCGGGGAGCCGGUGCCGGCCGAGGACGUGGUGAAGACGCUUCUUGACAAGCUGUUCGACGGCGAGAGCCCGUACGCGAGCUUCCCGCCGGCGCACACGGCCGCGCUGCUCCACCCUGCGGCGGCGCGGCCGCGCGGGUGGGGGUCGACGGGGGCGGUGUUCGCGGACCUCAUCGAGGAGGUGCGCCCCGACGUGAUCGUGGAGCUGGGCGCCUUCCUGGGCGCCUCGGCGCUCCACAUGGCGGCCGUGGCCCGGAACCUGUCGCUGUCCCCGGCCAUCCUCUGCGUGGACGACUUCCGCGGCUGGCCGGCCUUCCGCGGCCGCUUCCGCCGCGACGUCCCGCAGCAGCGGCACGGCGACGCGCUGCUGCUGCCGCAGUUCAUGGCCAACGUGCUGGCGGCGGGGCCCGAGGCCGCGGCGGCGGUGCUGCCGCUGCCCUUCUCCACGGCGUCCACGCUCGGGGCGCUGUGCCGGUGGGGCGUGUACGCGGACCUCAUCGAGGUGGACGCGGGCCACGACUUCCACUCGGCGUGGGCGGACAUCAACCUGGCGUGGGCCGUGCUGCGCCCCGGCGGCGUCAUGUUCGGCCACGACUACUUCACGGCCGCCGACGACCGCGGCGUCCGGCGCGCCGUGACGCUGUUCGCCAGGGUGAAGGGCCUCACCGUGCGGCCCCACGGCCAGCACUGGAUCCUCUCCCCGAAGCCGCGCAGCGACGGCCGGUGA